rnacentral:misc_RNA from 1 species
GAUGAAGAACGUAGCGAAAUGCGAUAAGUAAUGUGAAUUGCAGAAUUCAGUGAAUCAUCGAAUCUUUGAACGCAUCUUGCGCUCCUUGGUAUUCUGAGGAGCAUGCCUGUUUGAGUGUCAUUAAAUUCUCAACUACACUGACUUUGAAUUGGUGUGGCUUGGAUUUGGGGGGGAAAAUUGUUGUGGGCUUUUUGUAUAGUCUGCUCCCCUGAAAUUGAUUAGCGGUACCUUUGUGGAACUGUCUACAGGUGUGAUAAUUAUCUACAUCCUAGACAUCUGCUGGAAUGCUGCUUUCUAAACCUUACUUGUAUUGACAAUCUUGACCUCAAAUCAGGUAGGACUACCCGCUGAACUUAAGCAUAUCAAUAAGCGGAGGA